UACGUAGGGGGCGAGCGUUGUCCGGAUUUAUUGGGCGUAAAGAGCUCGUAGGCGGCUUAGUAAGUCGGGUGUGAAAACUCCAGGCUCAACCUGGAGACGCCACUCGAGACUGCUAUGGCUAGAGUCCGGUAGGGGACCACGGAAUUCCUGGUGUAGCGGUGAAAUGCGCAGAUAUCAGGAAGAACACCAAUGGCGAAAGCAGCUUUCUGGGACGGUACUGACGCUGAGACGCGAAAGCGUGGGGAGCGAACAGG
rnacentral:rRNA from 1 species